rnacentral:rRNA from 1 species
UACAGAGGUCUCAAGCGUUGUUCGGAUUCAUUGGGCGUAAAGGGUGCGUAGGCGGCGCGGUAAGUCGGGUGUGAAAUCUCGGAGCUUAACUCCGAAACUGCAUUCGAUACUGCCGUGCUUGAGGACUGGAGAGGAGACUGGAAUUUACGGUGUAGCGGUGAAAUGCGUAGAUAUCGUAAGGAAGACCAGUGGCGAAGGCGGGUCUCUGGACAGUUCCUGACGCUGAGGCACGAAGGUCAGGGGAGCAAACGGGGAUUAAUACC